AAUACCAUCCAAAGUAUUCGCUGUAAGUUGGACGGAUGCAAUGGGAGUUAUUGGAGGGGUAGGUGGAUACCAUACCAACGUGUCUGGUGACUGUGGACAGUGUGAUAAUGUGGGAAGAGUGAGUGCCAAUGUGACAGACAUGUCAUGCUCGGGCUGGGAGCCCAUUGGACAGACCUGCAACAUCAGUGUCUACACAGUUACUGCUGACUGUCACUUUAGGAGUGAAAGUCCUGCCUUUGCUGCUGUACAUCUGAAGUUGCCAAAAGUCCCCACAACUACUAGUGUAAUACCAACAUAUGACCUCAGUGGAGGCCUGUUGCGAAUUGCAACUACCUUCGUUGCAAAUCAAGAGAUCACAGAUGAGAAUGGAUUCACAAUAAAGUAUGUGAUUGUAUACACUCAUUCAUCACUGGGGAGUGAGCCGAUAGAGAUUGUGCUAGACUGUGCCUCAGGAACUGAAUGUAAACACAUCCUCAAUGUUAAUAACUCUCAUGGGGAGUACUCAAUAGCAACUGGUGCUGUGACUCCAGUGGGAAAAGCAAUCCAACAAGACAACUCCACCAU